rnacentral:rRNA from 1 species
UUUUAACGCUGAGGUGUGAUGACGAGGCACUACGGUGCUGAAGUAACAAAUGCCCUGCUUCCAGGAAAAGCCUCUAAGCAUCAGGUAACACGAAAUCGUACCCCAAACCGACACAGGUGGUCAGGUAGAGAAUACCAAGGCGCUUGAGAGAACUCGGGUGAAGGAACUAGGCAAAAUGGUGCCGUAACUUCGGGAGAAGGCACGCUGAUAUGUAGGUGAAGCCCCUGCGGGUGGAGCUGAAAUCAGUCGAAGAUACCAGCUGGCUGCAACUGUUUAUUAAAAACACAGCACUGUGCAAACACGAAAGUGGACGUAUACGGUGUGACGCCUGCCCGGUGCCGGAAGGUUAAUUGAUGGGGUUAGCGGCAACGCGAAGCUCUUGAUCGAAGCCCCGGUAAACGGCGGCCGUAACUAUAACGGUCCUAAGGUAGCGAAAUUCCUUGUCGGGUAAGUUCCGACCUGCACGAAUGGCGUAAUGAUGGCCAGGCUGUCUCCACCCGAGACUCAGUGAAAUUGAACUCGCUGUGAAGAUGCAGUGUACCCGCGGCAAGACGGAAAGACCCCGUGAACCUUUACUAUAGCUUGACACUGAACACUGGUCCUUGAUGUGUAGGAUAGGUGGGAGGCUUUGAAGCGUGGACGCCAGUCUGCGUGGAGCCGUCCUUGAAAUACCACCCUUUAAUGGCUGGUGUUCUAACGUAGACCCGUAAUCCGGGUUGCGGACAGUGUCUGGUGGGUAGUUUGACUGGGGCGGUCUCCUCCCAAAGAGUAACGGAGGAGCACGAAGGUUAGCUAAUCCUGGUCGGACAUCAGGAGGUUAGUGCAAUGGCAUAAGCUAGCUUGACUGCGAGAGUGACGGCUCGAGCAGGUGCGAAAGCAGGUCAUAGUGAUCCGGUGGUUCUGAAUGGAAGGGCCAUCGCUCAACGGAUAAAAGGUACUCCGGGGAUAACAGGCUGAUACCGCCCAAGAGUUCAUAUCGACGGCGGUGUUUGGCACCUCGAUGUCGGCUCAUCACAUCCUGGGGCUGAAGUAGGUCCCAAGGGUAUGGCUGUUCGCCAUUUAAAGUGGUACGCGAGCUGGGUUUAGAACGUCGUGAGACAGUUCGGUCCCUAUCUGCCGUGGGCGCUGGAGAAUUGAGGGGGGCUGCUCCUAGUACGAGAGGACCGGAGUGGACGCAUCACUGGUGUUCGGGUUGUCAUGCCAAUGGCACUGCCCGGUAGCUAAAUGCGGAAAAGAUAAGUGCUGAAAGCAUCUAAGCACGAAACUUGCCCCGAGAUGAGUUCUCCCUGACCCUUUAAGGGUCCUGAAGGAACGUUGAAGACGACGACGUUGAUAGGUCGGGUGUGUAAGCGCAGCGAUGCGUUGAGCUAACCGAUACUAAUGAACCGUGAGGCUUAACCUUACAACGCCGAAGCUGUU